GAUGGUGGUGGCGAUGGAGGUAGUGAUGGAGGUGGUGUUACUGGCGGUGGUGGUGUGGAAGCGGUGAUGGGGGUGGUGAUGGUGGAGGUGAUGGAGGCUGUGGUGGUGAUGAUGGUAGUGAUGGUGCUGGUAGUGAUGGUGGUGGUGGUGGUGGUGGUGGUGAUGAUGCCGGUGCUGGUGGUGAUGGGGUGCUGGUGGAGCUGGCCAUGAUGGU
rnacentral:lncRNA from 1 species